ACACUUUCACAAGCACUUUUUAUAGGCAGCAUGGGUCAGGAAAAAAACAUGAUAAUAUUAACCAUCCAUCAUUUCUAGCUGCCCUUGUUGACAGUUUGUGAACACAUGCAGACUGCAACUUCAUGUGCUUUAAAUACAGUACAAAACAACAACAGUGUCAUCUAGUGGCAGAACAUGAACAGUGGUAGAAUAUCACCUAAAUAUUUGUAAGCAUUUGUGACAUUAUGUCAUUCGAUUUUUCUUGAAUCAUCCUUUAUAUGAGGUGAUAAUAAUGGCAAGAUAUAUAGCAAUAUGUCAAAUAUAUUGGGUCAUUGGGUGUAUGUGAUUUUUUUUUUUUUUUUUGUUAUAAUGAUUAUUUUUAAGAUGAUUAAAUAUUUAAGGUUAACUGGUCUGAUUAAUAGACUUUUAUGUUAUUUUAGGUACAGUCUUUUUUGUUUAUUUAUUUAAGGAUUUUUUUCCCCUUUUCCUCUACUUUUUGCACCACACUCCUGUCCAGUAGGUGGCAGAAAUGCACCUUAUGUUAGUGUACCAACCACUACAAUGGAAAAGCUGGUGUACUACAGCAAAAAUGUGAGCUGAGAGCAGGCUGUGUCUGAAAUUGCAUCUUGCGCAGGCCAGGUAUCACCUGAUGAUGACAUUUCAAAAAGAGGAAGCCCAUUCAGUGAAAGUUUACAUGAUGUCGGGAAAGUGAAAUAUGAAAGUUUCGGUUACCCAGAAAGAAGAAGUUUACCGGCCUUUUACUGGAAAAGACCCUCUCGCUCCACCUACACUUCAGUUCCACAUAUUUCACAAACAAUAGAAAGUCUCUGCGGGAUGUAUUUACACCGCCCGAUAGGAAAUAAGUGAUGAGGAGCUUGACAGCAAAAGUCACCUUAGCUUUCAUUGUGGAAAAGACCUGCUCGAAGAUCCUUCAAAAACAUCUCUCCUCUAAGAACUGUUUACAUAGAAGAUGCUGGAAAACUGAAGAAUCUGCAGGACCUGAAGGAUUUUUCUGAAGAACAGAGCUCAGUUUAACUGCUCAGAACAAACAAGGGACUCAUGAACAACCAUCACAAAACAAAAAAACAGUCGUGGAUUAUCCAGUAAUAGCCAAUGUGGACCACAGAAGAAAGUCAUACAGAUUUGGAGCAACAUAAGGGGAUUCGGGAUCUUUUUUCGAGUAUUGGCCUGAGUGAUGUCAACAAGGUCGGAAUUCCGACACUUCUCCCGGAAGGGCGCGCACGCACACGUCGACCAGAGCGAGAGAGCAAGAGCACGCCCAUCAACGCGCGUCCGGCUUUAUGGAAGUCGUCGGCAGCGCUGCACAGUGGCUGCUCGAGCCCUCAGGAUCGGUGCUUAUGGUUUCAUAAACAAGGCCCAGUUCUACGCUGGAUUUACAGAUCGUUUGAAACUGAAAGAUGGAGCGGUCACAGCGGUAAUGAUCCCGGGUCUUGAGUCGGAACCGCAGGUGGAAAACAGAGCAAACUUUUUGAUGACUCAUCCUGCACUAAACAGAUUUUUAUCCAAUCAGAUGCUCUCUAAAAUGAGAAUGUUGCUCCCUCUGCAACCAACCAGCAGGUUGCAAAUCAUGGUUCAUGGCUAUGAGCUUAUGUAAAAAGAGUGUCAGAAAGUUGAUGAUGAGUCCAGAGUGCCGCUGCUACACAACUUUGGUUUUGCAUGUGGGUCUGAAUCAUGGGAGAUGCAUCUGAGGGACCCCCUGGAGUCCAAUCCAAACAUCUGUCUGUUUCACCUCUGCAUCGUUUGAGAAGUGGCAGAAUGUGUUGGAAUGUGGAAUCUGAUCAAACUUGCUGCAAGUGUGGAAGAGGCAGAAAGUUCAUACACGAUAAGAACUUGCCCCAGAGCAAAGGCCAGACUCCCCUCUUGCUCUCGAGCAGCUGUUUCACAGAAGCGCAUUACAUAACGCGCAAGAACCUGCCAUAAAACUAGGACAAAAAAUGUCCCACAGUCAUCUGAAAAAUCCCUUCUAAUUUCAGAAAGCAGUUUAGGAAUUAUAGUGUCUUUAGGGAGGUCAGUUUUUUUAAAAGAAUUUCCAAAGGUAAUUUUUGAAAUGUGAUUGUAUCGAAGGUCUUGCACACACCCAAACUGCACUACUACAACAGUUAAUGUCAACUAUUAAUAGACUUAGGAAAAUACUUCUAAUAUUUUUUGUGCAGCUGCAGUGUUGGAGUUGGAUUGAAAACUUUCCUAGUAUUUGUUAAUCCGUUGCUAAGAUGUUUUGAAUGGUUUGUAGGGCAUUGCUAGGGUGUGAGGUGGUUGCCAAGGUGUUCUGAAUGCUUUGUAGGGUGUAGCUAAGGUGUUCUGAAUUGUAUGUAGGAUGUUGAUAAUAGAGUGUUCUGCAUGAUUUCUAAGGUGUUCUGAAUUGUAUGUAGGAUGUUGAUAAUAGAGUGUACUGCAUGAUUUCUAAGGUGUUCUGAAUGGUAUGUAGGACGUUACUAGGGUGUGCAGUAGUUGCCAAAAAGUUCUGAAUGGUUUGUUGGGUGUUGCUAGGGAGUGAGGUGGUUGCUAAGGUGUUCUGAAUUUUAUUUUGGAUGUUGUUAAAGUGUUUUGCAUGGUUUCUAGGGUGUUCUGAAUGGUAUUUAGGGUGUUGCUAGGGUGUGAGGUGGUUGCCAGGGUGUUCUGAAUGGUUUGUAGCAUGUUGAUAGGGUGUUCUGCGUGGUUUCUAAGGUGUUCUGAAUGGUAUGUAGGGCAUUGCUAGGGUGUGAGGUGGUUGCCAAGGUGUUUUCAAAGGUUUGUAGGGUGUUGCUAGGGUGUGAGGUGGUUGCCAAGGUGUUCUGAAUGCUUUGUAGAGUGUUGCUAAGGUGUUCUGUAUGUAGGAUGUUGCUAGAUUUGGGUGUUCUGUGUGGUUUCUAAUGUGUUCUGAAUGUUAUGUAAGGUGUUGCUAAGAUGUUCUGAAUGGACUGUAGGGUGUUGCUAGGGUGAGAAGUGGUUGCAAAGGUUUUCUGAAUGCUUUGUAUGGUGUUGCUAAGGUGUUCUGACUGGUCUGUAAGGCGUUGCUAUGGUGUGAGGUGGUUGCCAAGGUGUUCUGAAUGGUUUGUAUGGUGUUGCUAGGGUGUUCUGUGUGGUUUCUAGGGUGUUCUGAAUGAUUUCUAGAUUUUGUGAGGUAGCUGCUAAUGUGUUCUGAAUGUUUUGUAUGGUGUUGCUAAGGUGUUCUGAAUGGUUUGUAGGGUGUUGCUAAGGUGUGAGGUGGUUGCCUAGGUGUUCUGAAUGUUUUGUAUGGUGUUGCUAAGGUGUUCUGAAUGGUUUGUAGGGUGUUGCUAAGGUGUGAGGUGGUUGCCUAGGUGUUCUGAAUGUUUUGUAUGGUGUUGCUAGAGUGUUCUGUGUGGUUUCUAGGGUGUUCUGAAUGAUUUCUAGAUUUUGUGAGGUAUCUGCUAAGGUGUUCUGAAUGGUUUGUAGGGUAUUCCAAGGGUGUGAGGUGAUUGUCAAGAUGUUCUGAAUGGUCUGAAGGGUGUUGCUAAUGUCUUCUGAAUGGUUUGUAGGGUGUUGCUAGGGUGUGUUCUAAUUGGUUUGAAGGGUGUUGCUAAGGUGUUCUGAAUAGUUUGUAGGGUGUUGCUAGGGUGAGAAGUGGUUGCCAAGGUGUUCUAAAUGUCUUGUGUUGUGUAGCUGGGGUGUUCUAAAUGGUUUGUAGGGUGUUGCCAAGGUGUUCUGAAUGGUUGUUGCCUCAAAUGACAGGACGUCACAAAAGGGCAGCAAUUUUGAAUCAGCUGCUGUGUGUUUGCUCUCUGUGAUGUUUAGCAGUGAGGUCAGAACAAAGAUGACUGAGAUGUUCCGGCUGGAUUAGAUGAGAAAAGACAGAACCAGCAGAGAUCACUCAUGACGUGUGCUAACAGAUCGGAUUUCUCUAUCUCCAUCCUAGUCAAUGCCAAGGUCCUGUAAACAAUGUGUUUGUUUCCAGUACAGUUAACCCCCCCACCUUCCAUUAAUGUGCAUCCUCCAUGCGACUAAUAAGUCAACAGAACCUCUCGUCUGUGUUGAUGCAUCACGUUCCGUGUGGCUUGUCCUCGUGCUGACGUCCACAGUCAUGAAUGUAAACACGGACAGGGCUUAAUUUCCAGCGCUCCUACGUCUUUGUUCCGUUGUAAGCGCUUCUGUUUUCCGAAAGGUUGCACGGUUACGUAGGACAGCGAGUGGGCGGGAGGAAAAGGAGAUUGGUGGAUAACAGGAAGAAAGGGAACUUCUAAAUCCGUGUUUGUGUAUGUAAUUAGACCUGCUAUUGUUAGAACAACGUGCUGGCUGUGUUUAUAUCCCGUUUGAAUGGACAGACACUUGGAGACAAUGUUAAGAGAGGACAAAGAAAAAGGACAAAUGAGACCUAUUUAUAAUCUUAGUUUUUUCUGCUGGACAAUAGUGAGAUUGAACGGAAAGCAAAUCAGUCUCCUGCUUCUUAGGUCUUCUUCUUUCUCACACCUUUUGGCUAAUGACUUUUCUGUGAUUGAUCCUCAGCAUUUUUAUGUGUUUAUGAUUGCUUAAUUUUUUUAUUAAUUAAUUAUUUAAUACAUUUUUUAAAGACGUUGCUCUGAGAAAAAGCCAUUUAUAGUCAGUGAAAUAUGGAGCAGAGUCAAUUUAUAAUUUCUAUUUAUAAUGUAGAAAUCUCUGAUUUUUCAAGAUUUUAUUCAUUUGAAAUCCCAUCAUUUUAUUUAUUGUAUUUUUUUAUUUUAAUUGCGUAAUUUUCAUUUCCAUGAUUCUUGGAGAUUUUACAUUUUUAAUUAUUUUAAUUAUUAGAUAUUAUUAAUUUGUUUAUUUUCAUGAAUUUAAGUGUCAAGACUUUUACAGAUUUUAUUAAUUUUAUAUAAAAUCUUUUAUAUAUAUAUAUAUAUAUAUAUAUAUAUAUAUAUUGCAUGAUUUAAUUUCCAUGAUUCUUGGAGAUUUUAUUAAUUUUAAAUUCCAUUAUUUUUUUUAAUAGCAUGAUUUUAACUUCCGAGACUUUUACCGAUUUUAUUAUUUUAAAUAAAAUUUAAAAAAAUGCAUUAUUUUAAUUUUCUAUGAUGUUUUCAGAGCUAAAUAUGCACAAAAAAGUCUCAAACUGUGCUUACAUUUGAGUUUAGUUUUCUGUUUAGAUUUCAACAUGAGCUCAAAUGUGUCUCAUUAAAUUAUAGAUUUAUUUAAUUUCAUUUAAUUAAUACGCUUACUGUAUGUCAAAAUAUGUACUAAUUUGUUUGCCUGGAUUUCUCAUAUAUCAUUUUGGAGAAACAUCUGAGGAAAAAGUUAAUAGUUCAGUGAAACAUAACUGAGAACCUCCAUUAAGCACAAAUUGUGCAUCAUGCUAAUGUGCAGAAACUCUCUGUGAGCUUGGAACAGAGACGCAUAGCUGGAAGUUGAGCUCUCCAGUGACAUGCCCAGUGUGUCAGGCUGCCAUGUGAUGCGAGCCUGGCACAUGUGGGCCCGUGCCUGUCUCAUUUCAGUGACCCUGUCAGAAACUUUAACCCAACUCAGAACGCUGCUACUCUGACACUGAGAGUGUUAGCAUCUGUGUCACCGCAUUUCAUCUUGCACCAUUCAUCAGAUGACAAGUUCUGAACUGUAAGUGCAGAUGCACACGUGCAGUUCUUGUACUGUUAGAAUAAAUUGCCCAAAGCCACUGUUUAUUUGCUAAAUUUUCUCAUUUUAAAUGUAUAGUUUACCCAAAAGUGAAAAUUCAGUAAUUUACUCACCCUCUUGUUGUUUGACUGACUUCCUUCUGAGGAGCAUAAAAGAUAUUCUGAAGAACGUUGGGCUCCAAACAAAAUUAGACCCCACUGACUUUCACUGAGACAUAUUUCAAAAUAUAUUCUUUUAUGCUCCACAGAAGGAAGAAGGUCAAACAGGUUUGGAAAGACAUGAGGGUGAGUAAAUAAUGACAGAAUUUCCAUUUUUGGUGGAACUAACCCUUUAAGGCCUACUCACACCAAGAACAAAUAUCCCUGUUUUGCAUUAAUGUGAGUUUUACUUUGCAUUAAAGCAAAUGGCAUUUGUAUUGUCAAAUUUUGCUUUAAAGCUUGUGGAUAAAUGCAGUGGUUUUUUGUUUCACUCUUGGUGUGAAUAGGCCUUUUGUGUGUGAUUCAUUUUGCUUUUCCGCUCUUAGUGUGAACAGGCCUUUAGUCUUUUGACCCUGCACCAGUAUUUAGGAUUCUAUGCUUCAUUACCCCCAGUAUGUGCUUUCUUAUUCACUCAUAUACAACAGAGAAAGCAAGGUCAAUACGGCCCUGAAGAAAAUGAAAUUCCCAAAGGAAGGUGAAGCUGAGGCAUAUGGCUCCCGCUGGUACUAAUCAAUAUCUUCAAUGCAGCACACCACCCCGAUCAAUCGCACAUCGUGAAGGCUUGUAUCUUCGAAUAAAAGAUUUGUAUCGUUUACUUCUCCAGCACCAAUAGCUGCAUCUUCCCUUCCAGAUCAAUAAGAGUUUUCUUAAAGGGAUAGUUCACCCUAAAAUGAAAGCUAAAGAGAUAGUUCACCCAUAAAUGAA